UAGGGAAUCUUCCACAAUGGACGCAAGUCUGAUGGAGCAACGCCGCGUGAGUGAAGAAGGUUUUCGGACCGUAAAGCUCUGUUGUUGGUGAAGGAGGAUAGAGGUAGUAACUGGCCUUUAUUUGACGGUAAUCAACCAGAAAGUCACGGCUAACUACGUGCCAGCAGCCGCGGUAAUACGUAGGUGGCAAGCGUUGUCCGGAUUUAUUGGGCGUAAAGCGAGCGCAGGCGGAAGAAUAAGUCUGAUGUGAAAGCCCUCGGCUUAACCGAGGAAUUGCAUCGGAAACUGUUUUUCUUGAGUGCAGAAGAGGAGAGUAGAACUCCAUGUGUAGCGGUGGGAUGCGUAGAUAUAUGGAAGAAUACCAGUGGCGAAGGCGGCUCUCUGGUCUGCAACUGACGCUGAGGCUCGAAAGCAUGGGUAGCGAACAGGAUUAGAUACCCUGGUAGUCCAUGCCGUAAACGAUGAGUGCUAAGUGUUGGGAGGCUUCCGCCUCUCAGUGCUGCAGCUAACGCAUUAAGCACUCCGCCUGGGGGAGUACGACCGCAAGGUUGAA
rnacentral:rRNA from 1 species